UAUAGUUGGAGGUGUUGACUCAAGACCAAAAUUCAGCCUGUUUCUUACCAUGGAGGGCAGACCUACCCCUCCUCGUACCUAUUAAACAUCUGUUUUACUCCCCUUGAGGUCAUAAAUUCACAGGAUAGCCAGCAAGAGCAACAUUAUUCCAGUAUGUUCCAGUGUCCAUAAGGAAACAUUGUGACACCCUGUUGUGAACUGCUGAACUUUCUGGAACUGGCGAGCACGAAUCAGAACCGCUGCUGGUCCUUGAAGAAGAUAUGACUCGAGAAAGAGCAUCAAGUACUGGCCAAACAUAACUUUGGAAAAGUCUGCCAAUAAUUGCCUUUACUGUCUUAACAUUCCACACUGCGAAAGACAGGCUAGAAAGCCUUGUAGACAAGGAAGACCAUGCUGAAUGAAAAGCUAGCAGUGAGAUUACAAAGGCUAGAAGGAGCUCAGUAGGAACAGCAAUGAGAGCUGCUCUAGAGUCCAGCAUCUGUACCUGAAGACUCUCCAGCACUGCACGAACACAAUGAAAUGACUGGAAAAGCACUUCGAAGACUGCACUACGUCAUGUUCAAAGCUGGAAAAGCAUUCUAAUGCAGCAGAAGAAAGACAAACCUACACUCCUCUCAUAUGAAUAAACAGACAAAAGUAA